rfam:TPA: Bos taurus chromosome 9, whole genome shotgun sequence.
UCCUUGGUGGCUCAGAUGGUAAAGAAUUUGCCUGCAAUGCAGGAGACCCAGGUUCAAUCCCUGGGUCAGGAA